AAAAAUGUAGGACUACAUGUUGUAUAUGCUAAUAUCUUUUUGUAUGCUGUACUGACAGUCCUCAACCUGGAAGAUAUGUUUUAUUCCUAACCAUCUAUAAUCCAUUCUCUAUGAAGUUCAGCCUGUCUGCCCAAAUUCCUUUGGAAAUACAUAGUUAGUCAACCAACAUAGAAACAAUCAAACUUGAAGUCCUCAACCUGGAAGAUAUGUUUUAUUCCUAACCAUCUAUAAUCCAUUCUCUAUGAAGUUCAGCCUGUCUGCCCAAAUUCCUUUGGAAAUACAUAGUUAGUCAACCAACAUAGAAACAAUCAAACUUGAAGUCAUCAACAUGGAAGAUAUGUUUUGUUCCUAACCAUCUGCAAUCAAUUCUCUAUGAAGUUCAGACUGUCUGCUCUUCCUUUGGAAAUACACAGUUAGUCAAUCAACAUAGAAACACACAAACUUGAAGGAUUCUCUAGUGAGAGGUUAUGGAAAUGAUCUAUGUCUACUCUUAGAAUGGUGAAAGACUCUCAGAUUAUGCAAAGACUAACAGAAUAUCCUCUCUUGGAACACUGAAACAAGAAAACCAAACUUAAGAGGAUGGAGGAUUUAAGAAGAACAUAAAGAUGAUUUCCAUCG